rnacentral:rRNA from 1 species
AAUGAACGCUGGCGGCAUGCCUAACACAUGCAAGUCGAACGAAGGCUUCGGCCUUAGUGGCGCACGGGUGCGUAACGCGUGGGAAUCUGCCCUUGGGUUCGGAAUAACAGUUAGAAAUGACUGCUAAUACCGGAUGAUGUCGUAAGACCAAAGAUUUAUCGCCCAAGGAUGAGCCCGCGUAGGAUUAGCUAGUUGGUGGGGUAAAGGCCUACCAAGGCGACGAUCCUUAGCUGGUCUGAGAGGAUGAUCAGCCACACUGGGACUGAGACACGGUCCAGACUCCUACGGGAGGCAGCAGUGGGGAAUAAUGGACAAUGGGCGAAAGCCUGAUCCAGCAAUGCCGCGUGAGUGAUGAAGGCCUUAGGGUUGUAAAGCUCUUUUACCCGGGAUGAUAAUGACAGUACCGGGAGAAUAAGCUCCGGCUAACUUCGUG